ACGCGCAAGGGGUAGGGGAGGCGGGCAAGAUGGCUUCUGGCGAGUGAUCCUGCCCGGAUACCUCCGGCGACCGCUGAGACACCGGGACGGGGGGUGCUGCCCCCACUGCUGCCCUUCUUCCUCUCCCCCGCCCCCAGAGACCCCCCUCCUUCCCUUCCUCCUUCUACCUCGGUGGGGAGGGAGGGGAGGUGGGCCUGGUUCCUGGGACACCAUGUCGGACUCAGAGGAGGAGAGCCAGGACCGGCAACUGAAAAUCGUCGUGCUGGGGGACGGCACCUCCGGGAAGACCUCCUUAGCUACGUGUUUUGCUCAAGAAACUUUUGGGAAACAGUACAAACAAACUAUAGGACUGGAUUUCUUUUUGAGAAGAAUAAUGUUACCAGGAAACUUGAAUGUUACUCUUCAAGUUUGGGACAUAGGAGGGCAGACAAUAGGAGGCAAGAUGUUGGAUAAAUAUAUCUAUGGAGCACAGGGAAUCCUCUUGGUAUAUGAUAUUACAAAUUAUCAAAGCUUUGAGAAUUUAGAAGAUUGGUAUUCUGUGGUGAAGAAAGUGAGUGAGGAGUCUGAAACUCAGCCACUGGUUGCCUUGGUGGGCAAUAAAAGCCUCUCACUGCUGUGGCCUCUCCCGUUGCGGAGCACAGGCUCCAGAUGCGCAGGCUCAGUGGCCAUGGCUCACGGGCCCAGCCACUACGCGGCACGUAGGAUCUUCCCGGACCGGGGCACGAACCCACAUCCCCUCCAUCGGCAGGCGGACUCUCAACCACUGCACCACCAGGGAAGCCCUCAACAUCUUUCUUGACAAAAGUUUUAAAACUACUUCUGUCACUUAGCUCUCCCAUAAUGACACUGCUGCUGUCCCCUGAAGCUCUUUCAAAUGUUGUCGUCCCUUCUAUAUCUACUUUAUCACUAGUACUGGAGUAGUGGUAAUUGGUAGUUACCUUCUUGUUACAUAUUGCUCUUUCCAGAACAUUCUCCUUCAUCUUCCCUAAAAACCCUUAGAUUUGAAUAUCAAGCCAUAUGAUUAUACCUCCUGCUACUUAUAUUUCUUGGAGUUAUCAGCCAACCCCUGAAUCACUGCUUUGAAUUUCUUGAAGAUUUUGGCUUUGGGUCAUAGUCACUCCACUACUAUUGCUAUCAUGAUUCUUGGUAAUUUUACUAUACAUACAGAUUAUCCUUCUAAUACUUUUGUGUCUCAGUUCCUUGAAUUCUUCAUCUGCCAUAAUCUUGCCACCCACCUACACUAACAUAUUUGUUCUGGAGACCUAGUCAAUAUUAGUUUCCAUACUCUCUUCAUAAUAUCAGUUAUCAGUUUCAUGUAUCCCCGUCUAUUAUUUCCUGUCUUUCCACCUCACAUCCUUUGGUAACCCAAUUCCAGUAAUUUUUAAACCCACAUAAGACCUUAACAUCAGUUGAUCUUACCAAUUUUUCGUUUUCCUGAACCCCCCUCCUACCAACUUAAAUUCCAUGGUCUAUCAAUAUAAUCACUCCCUUACAUUUAUUAUCUUCAAUUACUUGCCCUUCUUUUCAGUAAUUGUACGUGAUUGAGAAAACCCCAGCUCUACUUAAAUGCAAAUCCUCAUCUGCUCAAUACCUCCAUCCAUUGCAGCUGAGUGUACCUGGAACAAAACCUACAAUAUACUGUCUCAUUUAAAAUUCGAGUUAACUAUCUUCAAGUGAUUUCUCUUUAUCUUGUUCAUCCCAUGUCAAAUCCAUUAGCAUUUCUUAUUCGCUUUUUAUUCCAAAAAUAUAUUGAGAAUUUGCCCCACUUUUUACCAUCUCUCUUGCUCCUACUCUUGUCCAAACUACCAUCUUCUCUUUCCUAGAUUUUUAUUAUAGCCCCCUCGAUGGCUUCUCUGCUUUACAUUUGACUACAGUUUAUUCUCAUCACAGCAGCCGAAACCUUUUAAAAUUUGAUUUGGAGCAUAUGCGAACAGUAAAACCUGAAAAACACUUAAGGUUUUGCCAGGAAAAUGGUUUUAGUAGCCACUUUGUCUCAGCAAAGACAGGAGACUCU